AGUGAACGCUGGCGGUAGGCCUAACACAUGCAAGUCGAACGGCAGCACAGGAGAGCUUGCUCUCUGGGUGGCGAGUGGCGGACGGGUGAGGAAUACAUCGGAAUCUACUUUUUCGUGGGGGAUAACGGAGGGAAACUUACGCUAAUACCGCAUACGACCUACGGGGAAAAGCAGGGGACCUUCGGGCCUUGCGCGAUUGAAUGAGCCGAUGUCGGAUUAGCUAGUUGGCGGGGGAAAGGCCCAACAAGGCGACGAUCCGUAGCUGGUCUGGGAGGAGGAUCGACACCAUUGAAACGUAGCAAGGGUCAAGACUCCUAUGGGAGGCAGGAGUGGGAAAUUUUGGACAAUGGGCGCAAGCCUGAUCCAGCCAUACCGCGUGGGUGAAGAAGGCCUUCGGGUUGUAAAGCCCUUUUGUUGGGAAAGAAAUCCAGCUGGCUAAUACCCGGUUGGGAUGACGGUACCCAAAGAAUAAGCACCGGCUAACUUCGUGCCAGCAGCCGCCGUAA
rnacentral:rRNA from 1 species